AACUACGCGCAUCUACCCAACAAGCGUCCCCUACGGUGCGGGGUAUCCUCUUUAUGUUUCUGGUGAGGAGUCUUCUCGCGUCCAACACGCCCUUCUGCUUUUUAAUAAAAAUAUUCAGCAAGCUUUACAACAACUGCAAAAAUUUAGCGAAACUACUGAGUCUGAACACGCUGUAAUUCGGGAUGCUUUAAGAGAACUUCACAAAAAACUUAAUAACUUCCUCCGAACGUUUUAAUUUUACAACAGAAGGCAUUUGUAUUAAAAGCUAUGUUA